rnacentral:rRNA from 1 species
UACGUAGGGGGCAAGCGUUAUCCGGAAUUACUGGGUGUAAAGGGUGAGUAGGCGGCAUGGUAAGCCAGAUGUGAAAGCCUUGGGCUUAACCCGAGGAUUGCAUUUGGAACUAUCAAGCUAGAGUACAGGAGAGGAAAGCGGAAUUCCUAGUGUAGCGGUGAAAUGCGUAGAUAUUAGGAAGAACACCAGUGGCGAAGGCGGCUUUCUGGACUGAAACUGACGCUGAGGCACGAAAGCGUGGGGAGCGAAC